AGAAAAAGUUCUAUGUGACCUCAGGUGUAUAGGUGUAUAUAGGGCCAAACAUCACUUAUAAAUCAUAAAAGUUAUUUAUUUUAAAGUAAUUAUUUAAUAUACAGGUGAUGUUACUAUUUUAUUAAAGGGGGAUUUUUUUAUGCUAAUGAGAGACUUAUUCUUGUUUUUACAUAGAUCUUUUUGUUGUUGGUUUUUUGUUUUGCUUUGUUUUAUUGAGAUAUGGACUCAUUCUAUAUUUCUACAUGGCCUGAAACUUGCCAUAUAGAUCCAGUCUGGCCUUGAAUUUCUAGAAAUUUGUCUCUACUUCCUAAGUUUUGGGAUUAAAGACCUGCAUCACCGCCCCGGAUGAGAGUGAAACGUAGACUGAAGUUUUGAUACUACAGGACAUAGAACUAAGACUAUGCUUUCAAAUUGAUUUCUUACUUGUAAUAGCCCUUUUAGACUAUAAAAACAUCUUAUUAUCUUUAUACUAAUACUUACUGAGAAUACCACUUCAUUCAUGCAUAUGUGAUACACAGGCCUGAAGGGAACAUACAUUCAACUGCUUUUACAUAUAGCACUAUAGUUUGGUUCCCAGCGCCCAUGUGUUUUUUUAACAACUGCUUGUAACUGUGGUUCUAGGCAGUGCAGUGUCCUUCAUGGGCUCUUGCAUGCACAUGUUGCUCAUAAAUCCACAAAGGCAAACACACGUACACAUAAAUAAGUAAGUCUCUAAAUGUAUACUCUAAAGUGACAUUUAUACUUGACCUCCAUCCUCAACACAUUGACUCAUGCAGCAGGUGACAUGCUGACAACUUGACUACCUGAGUUUGGUACAUGGAACCCACGCAGUGGAACGGGAGAGGCUCUUUCUACAAGCUGUCUUUUGCAUGUAUGCCAUAGCAUGUAUAUACAUAUACAUGAAUGAAUGCUUUGUGAGUUUGUUUGUUUUUGUUUUUUUCUUUUAAUUUUUAAAGAAAAGAAAAGCAGACUACCUCUACACACAACUUGGAUAUAUGUCAAGGGACUGGAUUUAAGCAGAAAGAAUAACUCAGAGAAUGGAGAAAUGGCUCAAACUGUUUAAAGCACUUGUUGCUCUUACACAGGACUGGAAUUCAAUACACACUCACCCACAAGUUGACUUAACCAUCCAUAACUUCAGUUGUAGGGGAUCUAACGCCUUCUGACCUCCACAGACACCAAGCAUCCACAUGAAGUACAUACUUACAUUCAGGCAAAAUAUUCAUACACAUAAAUAUAUCUUUAAAAAGAAAAAAAAAAACAGGCCAGCC
rnacentral:lncRNA from 1 species